CCCUUAGAUGUCCUGGGCCGCACGCGCGCUACACUGAUGCAUUCAACGAGUCCAACCUUGACCGAGAGGUCCGGGUAAUCUUUGAAACUGCAUCGUGAUGGGGCUAGAUUAUUGCAAUUAUUAAUCUUCAACGAGGAAUGCCUAGUAAGCGUGAUUCAUCAAAUCGCGUUGAUUACGUCCCUGCCCUUUGUACACACCGCCCGUCGCUCCUACCGAUUGAGUGUGUUGGUGAGGAGUUUGGAUUGGCCUCGGAAGGUGGUUCGCCACCGUCCGUAGCUGAGAAGUUCUCCAAACCGCCCCACUUAGAGGAAGGAGAAGUCGUAACA
rnacentral:rRNA from 1 species